GAGCCUGUGGUUUAAUGGGUAGAGCAUUGGACUCCGGAUCCACAGGUCGCGGGUUCG
rnacentral:tRNA from 1 species